rnacentral:rRNA from 1 species
AUACGGAAGGUCCGGGCGUUAUCCGGAUUUAUUGGGUUUAAAGGGAGCGCAGGCGGAGAUGCAAGCGUGACGUCAAAUUUCGGGGCUCAACCCCGUCUCGCGUCGCGAACUGCGUCCCUUGGUUGCGGGAAGGGGAGGCGGAACUCGUGGUGUAGCGGUGAAUGCAUAGAUAUCACGAAGAACUCCGAUCGCGAAGGCAGCCUUCCGGCCCGUCAACGACGCUCAUGCUCGAAGGUGCGGGUAUCAAACAGGAUUAGAUACCCUGGUAGUCCGCACAGUAAACGAUGGACACCCGCGGUUUGGCCUGUAUGGCUGAGCCGCCAAGCGAAAGCGUUAAGUGUCCCACCUGGGGAGUACGCCGGCAACGGUGAAACUCAAAGGAAUUGACGGGG